GUGGGUCAGAAUUGGAUUUCCCUGGGUAAACCCUAAACCAACGCAUUCUCCUUUUUCUUCUCAUCUCCCACGCCCAAAUCACCACCAUCCAACAACCUCCAUACCACCAUCCUCCAUACCACCAUACUCCGACCAUCAACCACUACUUCUGCUCACGACCAUCGCCGCCAGCCCGCCGCUUCGUUUCAGUCCAACUAAAUAACCAAAUUAGACUGCAUUCGGUCGAGCCUAACAAUAACUUCUGCAGCGAUUUAGGUUAUCACUCCAUCGUAUCUCACUGCAGCGAUUGUUGCGACGAUCGGUUGUUCUCUUGAGCUGGAGAGUAUUAAUGAAGAGGGGGGGGGGGGGGGUUGAUGAAAAGGGUGCUUUAUCUCGUAGCUUGGAUGUUAAAGAGGGACUCUAUUGGUGAUGUGGCAUUGAGGUUGCACGAUGGAGCCGUAGGGGCUCCAACCAUACCCUGCAGCCUAAAUGGACAAAGUCUCAAAUAUUGAUCAGUCCAUUGUUAUUUUUUUUAAUGUGAAACCGCUUACAAGUCCAUAUGUUUAUUAUGAUUUAUGAUGAGACUUUUAUCUUCAAUGUUACUGGUGGAUUAUGGUAA
rnacentral:lncRNA from 1 species